rnacentral:rRNA from 1 species
AUUGAACGCUGGCGGCAGGCUUAACACAUGCAAGUCGGACGGGCACUUCGGUGUCAGUGGCAGACGGGUGAGUAACACGUGGGAACGUACCUCUUGGUUCGGAACAACUGAGGGAAACUUCAGCUAAUACCGGAUAAGCCCUCACGGGGAAAGAUUUAUCGCCGAAAGAUCGGCCUGCGUCUGAUUAGCUAGUUGGUAGGGUAAUGGCCUACCAAGGCGACGAUCAGUAGCUGGUCUGAGAGGAUGAUCAGCCACAUUGGGACUGAGACACGGCCCAAACUCCUACGGGAGGCAGCAGUGGGGAAUAUUGGACAAUGGGGGCAACCCUGAUCCAGCCAUGCCGCGUGAGUGAUGAAGGCCCUAGGGUUGUAAAGCUCUUUUGUGCGGGAAGAUAAUGACGGUACCGCAAGAAUAAGCCCCGGCUAACUUCGUGCCAGCAGCCGCAGUAA